rnacentral:lncRNA from 15 species
AUGUCCUUUAGAUUUCUUACAGGACGAGUUGUUGUUGCCCAUAACGCUUUUAUCUGCCGAUCGUUACGUCUGUGUCGUCGAAGCACAAAGAGACUCGAGGCUUGCCGUAAAGCGGUAUCUCUGUACGAUGUGUAUGACGUCACUGACAUUUUAAAAGACUUUUUAAAACAAAUAAGGGACUCUAAAGAAUCUAACACCCAACAAUGUGUCAUGUCUUUGCGUCCCCUUUCGAAUGCAACAUUCAAAUUACUAGACAAACACUGAUCUCCUGAGAGAAGAGGAUUGUGAGGGUAUCGCUCCAUAGAGCUCCAUUCAUUCUGCACUCAUCCUGUGAGCGCCCUCACAUGGAACCAGAGGGGAACUGCAACAGUUCAGAACCCGGAAGUUUACUGAGAGUGGAAGUUCUCCUUAUUAUUAUUAUUAUUAUUAGACGUUCUCUGGAGUAUAUAUAAAUAUAUCUAUAUAGAUGUAUAAACACGUUUAUGGGUCAGAGACACACACACACACACACAGACACACACACAACAAGACACACAGACACACACACACACACACACACACACACACACACAGAUUUCAUAUCCUUUAUAAGCAUCAUCUCUCCUGCCGCCGCCAUCAUUCACCUUCACCUGUAUUAAUCUGAGUUUAACGACGGUAUCGAUCCGCCGGGGCUCAGUCGAGCGCCUCCUAUUGAGCCGUGUACGAGCAAACCUUUAAACACGACUAUUGAUCCGUGGGACAGCUCCUCUCCUCUGAGCCGGGAUCACACUAAAUUACUCUUUUAUGCCUCGCCGCCGCCGCCGCCGGUUCAUCUGCGUAAUUAGAUGUUACAGCAGCGACACCUGAGAGGACGCUGGCUCAAGUCCUCGUAAUCCCUGUAAAAAAUGUCCUUCAGGCCGAUUUGGAUUUUAUUUUUCCCGUAUAAACAGUCUGGGCUCGGGUCCACGGUGGAGAAUGAACACAGCCUCACUUCUUGUAUUAUUUUUCUCCUCAUUCACAGGAUUAAUUACACAGCAGCUCCACGAGCGUUUAAAAAGCCUCCUGUUGAAGGAAUUCAAUGAACAUGUUGGUGCAACUUUGAGUGUUUAAAUUUAAAGUGAUUGCAGUUUUCUCCAGACUGGACGGGAGCGUUAUGUGACUCGCUGGCGGGAAGCUUUCCAGUCAUUCCCAGUUUAUUUAACAACUCAAAUACACUCUAAAAACCUGCAUUGUUAUUAUAUGUCACUGUGUUUUUAAUCCUUUGCACAACAGUUGUACUUCAGAGGAUCAAUACAGGAAUAUCUUAUCAAAACAGCGUUGGAUUAGCAUAAAGUGGGAGACCCAUAGAGGUCAGAGGUCAAAGGAUCCCUUUGAAAAUGGUAUGCCA